AGAACUUUGGACUUAACUUGAGAUAUCAGGAAACUUGUACAAUGUUCAGGACAGGCUGACAGUCAAUUAUCAGCAUAUUUUUCUUUGCAGCAUUCAUUUGGUAGUGGCUAUACAUCCUCCAUUCCAAUUCUGGACUUGAAAAGAAGAAUUUUUCCAGACAGUGAUUUCUUCCAAUAUCUCGUCUCUCUGUGUCUCUGUGUGUGUUUUUAACAGGCAGACCCAUGGGGUUACAGUCUUGCAAGCCUUGCAACUCAAGCCUACAAAGUAAGGAGGAAUGUGGACCGGCUGGUGGCUGCUGGUGUGUGUGUGACGACUGGAGAUACUGCUCAGACCGCUGCUGUGACAUCUGCUGCCAGAUGUGUGUGGACGUGUGCUCUGGCUUGUGUUCAGGAGACUGCAGCUAUACCUUCUGUACUCUGUGCCUCAGCCUGGCACAGAACUGUGUCUCACUUUUUACCACCCAACAAACUGAAACAUCGGAGGCACAACACGCUAUGAUGGAUCCAGAGCAGCAUGCCUAGUGAACAUGAGACCAAACACAAACGAUGCAUUGGUUUAAGGACCCAUAGCUUCACCAGCGACUGUGGAGCCGAGCUAUGGGCUGCUGUUUAAUGAGGACGGGGUUGAGAAGCACAGAGACUUUGACAAUGGGUGUAAAAAAAACAAAAAAAAACAAAAGCUGUCUGCAGAGCGGUGGUGUGUGCAUUCAUGUUUGGAUUUAACAAGCUCAAGCGUAUCACUGCUAUCAUGACUGAACAAAAGCACUCUGAACAAAACAAGCUUUCCUUCUCCUGGGUCACACCCCUGCAAUGGCAGAGACUGUGCCGCAUUAACACCACCUUUCAAGCCCCAUGCUGCACCUCAUUCCAAGUGGAUGGAUUUCUCUUGUAUCUGAUGUUUGGUUAUUGAAAAGGAUGACUGCUAUAUUCAUAUUUUUAAGUAUGGGACUCUUAAAGAGACAAACGGGAUUCCCUGACAACAGCCAAGCCAAAAUGUGGCAUUUUUCACAUCUGGCAGAUUAAACCAAAGUGUAGAAACGUCCUCAUCCUGGCACCCAAGCAGUACUUCAAAGCACUCGUUUAGAUGUCUGCAAGAUUGUUUUUGCACUUUGAGGCAAACAAAAAUAUAAUUUGGUUGCACACGGUUGUACAAUCUGAUAUCUUUUUGUGAGAUAAGGCCGCCUGAGGACACAAGGUGCUAUUUGCUUGCACUGAAUUAGACCUUUUUUAUUAUCCUCCAUGAAAUUGCUAGUUUAUGGAAAUUUUAAUGAUUGAGUGAGCCAUGUCCCAGCAUCAAAAUAAGAUUAGAAUAAGGUCUUACAAGGAAAAUCCAACAACACAGAGAAUAUGAUGGGCUGCAUCGUGUCCCCGACUGUACCCAUCUCUGCUCCUGUUUUCUCCUCCUCCUCCCGGUCCCUCUGGACUCUGCAGUGCAUUCAGUCCGACUCAAAUUCAUAUCCCUCUCAAACUCUGAGGAUAUGCUGUGUGGCCUAGUUUACUCCUUGAACUGACCUUAUCCUUCCCAAAGUUUCUGUGCCUAUAUUUAUAAUAUCCGCAGUAAAUCCUGUGAGCCCUAAACAAUUCUUAUAAACUUCACUCACCUCGAUUGAUUGAUUGUCUCUGAGUGUGGUUUCACUGUAUAUAUUUUUCGGCUUAUUUGUUUGAAAUAUCUAGAGAGUAGAGGGUUGAAAUUGUGAAGCCUUAAUUGAAUAUCAGAAGUCCAGAAGGAGAUCUGAUGUGAAGUGAAAUAUUGUUCAUGAACGUUGCACUCAGAUCAAUAAAGAUUGGGUAAAAGCUGCAAUUUUUGCCUCAGAAUAAUCUUUUGUGAAUGUAUCUUUUACUGUAUAUAUCCUAUUUUGUUAACACUGGGUCUUCUUGUACAGUGUGGACUUUUACAAAUAAAUGACACCAUAUCUUUAAA